rnacentral:rRNA from 1 species
UACAGAGGGUGCGAGCGUUAAUCGGAAUUACUGGGCGUAAAGCGCACGUAGGCGGACUGUUAAGUCGGGGGUGAAAUCCUGGGGCUCAACCUCAGAAUUGCCUCCGAUACUGGCAGUCUCGAGUGCGGGAGAGGUGAGUGGAAUUCCCAGUGUAGAGGUGAAAUUCGUAGAUAUUGGGAAGAACACCAGUGGCGAAGGCGGCU